ensembl:misc_RNA Metazoa_SRP Metazoan signal recognition particle RNA
GCCAGGUGCGGUGACACAUGCCUGUAGUCCCAGCUACUUGGGAGGCCAAGGUGGGAGGAUGGCUUGAGCCCAGGAGUUCUGGGCUGUAGUGCGCUAUGCCAAGUGGGUAUCUGCACUAAGUUCGGCAUCAAUAUGGUGACCUCCUGGGAGCGGGGGACCCCCAGGUUGCCUAAGGAGGGGUGAACCAGCCCAGAUUGGAAACAGAGUAGGUCAAAACUCCUGCGCUGAUCAGUAGUGGGAUUGUGCCUGUGAAUAGUCACUGCACUCCAGCCUGGGCAACAUAGCAAUACGCUGUCUCUU